rnacentral:rRNA from 1 species
UACGGGGGGGCAAGGCGUUGUUCGGAAUUACUGGGCGUUAAAGAGCUCGUAGGUGGUUUGUCGCGUUGUUCGUGAAACUCACAGCUUAACUGUGGGCGUGCGGGCGAUACGGGCAGACGUAGAGUACUGCAGGGGAGACUGGAAUUCCUGGUGUAGCGGUGGAAUGCGCAGAUAUCAGGAGGAACACCGGUGGCGAAGGCGGGUCUCUGGGCAGUAACUGACGCUGAGGAGCGAAAGCGUGGGGAGCGAACAGG